rnacentral:rRNA from 1 species
GUAGUCAUAUGCUUGUCUCAAAGACUAAGCCAUGCAUGUCUAAGUAUAAGCAAUUAUACAGUGAAACUGCGAAUGGCUCAUUAAAUCAGUUAUCGUUUAUUUGAUAGUACCUUACUACUUGGAUAACCGUGGUAAUUCUAGAGCUAAUACAUGCUUAAAAUCCCGACUGUUUGGAAGGGAUGUAUUUAUUAGAUAAAAAAUCAAUGCCUUCGGGCUCUUUGAUGAUUCAUAAUAACUUUUCGAAUCGCAUGGCCUUGUGCUGGCGAUGGUUCAUUCAAAUUUCUGCCCUAUCAACUUUCGAUGGUAGGAUAGUGGCCUACCAUGGUUUCAACGGGUAACGGGGAAU